rnacentral:snRNA from 1 species
GGAUUGUGUAAGAUGGGUGA